CCAAUAGCGUAUAUUAAAGUUGUUGCAGUUAAAACGCUCGUAGUUGAAUUUCGGGAUUGACACAUCGGUCGUGCCUUAAGGGGUAUGAACUGGUGUAGUCAAUUUCUCACCUUCUGGAGAACCGCAAUGCCCUUAAUUGGGUGUCGCGGGGAACCAGGACCUUUACUUUGAAAAAAUUAGAGUGUUUAAAGCAGGCAUUUUGCUUGAAUACAUUAGCAUGGAAUAAUAAAAUAGGACGGAUGAUUCUAUUUUGUUGGUUUCUAGGACCACCGUAAUGAUUAAUAGGGAUAGUUGGGGGCAUUAGUAUUCAAUUGUCAGAGGUGAAAUUCUUGGAUUUAUUGAAGACUAACUACUGCGAAAGCAUUUGCCAAGGAUGUUUUCAUUAAUCAAGAACGAAAGUUAGGGGAUCGAAGACGAUCAGAUACCGUCGUAGUCUUAACCAUAAACUAUGCCGACUAGGAAUCAGACGAUGUUAAUUUUUUAAUGACUCGUUUGGCACCUUACG
rnacentral:rRNA from 1 species